rnacentral:tRNA from 1 species
UGGGUUCGUGGUGGAACUGGUAUACACACUAGUCUUAGAAACUAGCGCCGAAAGGAUUGAGGGAUCGUGACCCUCCGAGCCUACCAA